rnacentral:rRNA from 1 species
AUGGGGGGACGAGGUGCUAUCCAUGGCACACUGGAGUUUUUUUGUGUGUUCGUCGCAGAAAACUUUUUUUACUUUUAUUGGGGGAGAAUCAAAGUGCAGUGUGGUUCACUAUUUGCUGCCCUUGUGGUUUGUUGUACUUUUUAUUGGAGGAGAAAACUAGGAACACAAAAUAAAAAAAAGUGCACUGCACACACUCUGAAGAAAAUACAUGAUGCAGUUUGGUUGUGCUAUUACUGUUUAUUGCAGGAGAAGAUUUGGACAGAAAAAAUGAGAAAAAAGUGCAUGAAUAUCAUAGAGACUGAACAGAUGCCAGAGCUGCAAGCCUGCAACUAA